rnacentral:lncRNA from 1 species
UCAAUCAACAUAUAUAAAAUGAACAUUGAUUCAGUCCAGAAAGGCAGGACAACUCAAGCAAAAGCAGGAGAAUUCAAAGCAACUUGAAGCAACUCGAAGUAGGAAGAGGGCUUCCAGGUCACAGACUGUUUGACCUCUGGUAACUAAAACUGCAGAAGGCAAAACUGGAUAAGGAGACUACUGUAAUGAUUAUGCUAUUACAAGACGCUCGAUUGCUAACAUCAGACAUUUUUAUAAAAGGAAGUGAAGCUAUGAGAUCCACAAUGUGAAUGUCACCCAACCAGAGGUGUUACUUUGUGCCAUGUACAACAUACACAACCAUAGGCCAGAAUCCUGCUAGGACAUCUCUGCCUGUGGAAGGAGGGCUGGAUGGCAUACUGGGAAUGGCUUUCUAGGAUGACUUCCUGUUGCUACAGACUACAAGAAGCAUUUCUGGCCUUGAUGUUGUCUGAAUGAAGAAGACAUAGGAGUUUCACCAAAGCCUACAGGAAUGAGGAAGCAGGAAGGGCCAGAGUGAAGUGGAAACUUUGAACUUGAAGUUGGAAGACACUGGUACUCAUCUCUUCUAUUUGCUAGCUGUAUGAUCUUGGGCAACUUAUUUAAUUUAUCUUCCUCCAGUUUACUCAUUGAUUAAAUGAAGGUAACAAUUUUAUCUCAUAGGGAUAUGGGGAUGAUCGAGAGAGAUAAUAAAA